UGGGGAAUAUUGCACAAUGGGCGCAAGCCUGAUGCAGCGACGCCGCGUGAGGGAUGGAGGCCUUCGGGUUGUGAACCUCUUUCGCCAGUGAAGCAGGCCACCCCCUUUGUGGGUGGUUGACGGUAGCUGGAUAAGAAGCGCCGGCUAACUACGUGCCAGCAGCCGCGGUAAUACGUAGGGCGCGAGCGUUGUCCGGAAUUAUUGGGCGUAAAGAGCUCGUAGGCGGCUGGUCGCGUCUGUCGUGAAAUCCCCUGGCUUAACUGGGGGCUUGCGGUGGGUACGGGCCGGCUUGAGUGCGGUAGGGGAGACUGGAACUCCUGGUGUAGCGGUGGAAUGCGCAGAUAUCAGGAAGAACACCGGUGGCGAAGGCGGGUCUCUGGGCCGUUACUGACGCUGAGGAGCGAAAGCGUGGGGAGCGAACAGG
rnacentral:rRNA from 2 species